GUAUAUAUGCAACCGUCUUCCUAUUUCACAUAUUUCUGUUUAAUUCAUUUACUGCUCAAGUACAAGUUUAGGGAAUGCUAUUGACAAUUGUGUCAGACAUUAUUAAACAUGUUUUUUCGUACAUGUAUUAUAAACAUUUAUUAAAUUAAUAAUCGAGAUUGUAUAAUAACUGCUAUGUUUCACGUAUCCAUCAUGUUCUGGCUUAUUGAGAUAGAGAUAUAUGUUUAUAACAAAUUAGUCAUAUCAUCAGACUAUAAGCGUGUUUAAACUUCGAUUCUCUGUGCAAAGUCCGAUACUUCAGGUGUUACUUGCUGAUCGAGCGCCGCUUUCAUCUGUGGAAUUCUUCUUUUCAAAUUGAACAGCACGUUUGAAAACACGAUUAACGGAAAAACCACAGACAGGCAUUCAUCUGACCGAUAAAUUGCUAUGACACCCAGGGGAUAUCUGAACAUAGCGGUCAGUGCCAGCACCGACAUUGCUGGCCAUAAAUUGUGUUUAAUUCCUACACGUCACUUUGAAAUCCCCGACAAUGAGACAAAGAGAUAAAACGCGACGGCAAAUUUAUGAAGACUCCUUUUGCAUUGUUUUGUCAGCUUUAUUUCUGGCGGAAUUGAUAUCGGUCCCCCAUGAUCAAGAGCAUCAACUGUAAUGUCGAUUCAUCUUUUUAUCAAUAUACAAUUGCGCCAUAUCCAGAAUAGUACAAAAUGACGAACUUUGCUGGAAUAUUCGGGGUAUACGCUCGGACUUUCUUUGGUUCAACUUUAGGAAACCCUAGCCGCACAAAUGCGGUAUAUCUUAAUGCCUCAAAAUGCGGUCAGCCGAUUCGCAUGGGAUAAUCUUUAUAACAAGAUCAUGGCAUGUUUGUACACAUAAAUGAAACUGAAGACUAAAGUCCAAAACCUAAUACACUGAGAAAGCGGACAGAAAAUGAUACUCAAGUUCAUGAUAAGCAUAACUACUUCAAUUAAUAAUAAAACAUAUAUGUUUAUCCCUCUAGAAUGAUUUCUUUAUUAAAAUAGUUUUAUUGAAUUGUUUUAGUUUUCCAGUGGAUUUUUUUUAAUCAGGUCUCAUUUGUUUGCAACUUUAUCUUCAUUUACUAAAUAAUAUUUUGAUCUUGAUUGUGAAUUGUUACAUAACAUCGUCAACGUACAUGUAGUUUAACUGAUGUUAUGAAUAUCAUUUUAUUUAGUCAAUAAUACAUAUCUUGUAUUGUUUAAACUAUGUGUCGAGAGUUGAGAGUGAAUAUACCCAAAAAUUCUAAAAGAUGUACAUGGAUACGUAUUGUAUUCAUUAAAGUUAAAAAUUACGAUGUCUUGUGUUGGGGUAAAUUUACCCCAUAAAACUGCAAAACAAUCAUGAUCUGUAUAUAGUUUAUAAGUUUAUAGUUUAUAGUUUAUAAGGUUUUAACUUUGUAAAAAUGACGUCUUGUGUUGGGGGGUAAAUUAAUCCCCCAACAAUGCAACACAGUUAUUUUUUGUUUAUUUCUAAGACUUCGAUUUGUAAAAACGUCGUCUUGUGUUGGAGGGAUUUUCAACCACCCCCCCCCCCCCACAAAAAAGAAAAAAGAAUUGCAACACAGUCAUUUUCUGUAUUUUUUUGGGGGGGGGGGGGGGCUUCGACUCUGUAAAGAUGGCAUCUUGUGUUGGGGGAAAAUUUACCCCCCAAUGAAUUGCAGCAGAGUAAUUUUUUUCUUUAUUUCUAUGGCUUUGACUUUGUAAAGAUGUCAUUUUGUGUUUGGAGGAAAUUUUCCCCCAAAGAAUUGAAACACAGACAUUUUUUGUUUCUUAUUAGGUCUUUGUCUUUGUAAAGAUGUCAUUUUGUUUUGGAGGAAAUUUACCCCCAAAUAUUGCAACACACGCAGUCAUAUUAUGUUUAAUUAUAUGGCUUUGACUCUGUAAAGAUGUCAUCUUGCGUUGGAGGAAAUUUACCCUAAAGAAUAGCAGCACAGCUUAUCUCUGUAUAUUUUUAUGGCUUCGACUCUGUAAAGAUGUCAUCUUGUGUUGGAGGAAAUUUAUCCCAAAGAAUAGCAACACAGCUUUUUCUGAAUAGUUUUGUAUAUUUAUAUGGUUUCGACUUUGUAUAGAUGUCAUCUUGAGUUGGAGGAAAUGUACCCCCGAAAAUUGCAACAACGUCAUUUUUUGUUUAUUUGUAUGGCUUUGAGAUUGUUUAGAUAUUUUCUUCUGUUGGGGAGAAAUUUACUCCCAAAGAAUUGUAACAGAGUCAUUUUUUUGGGGUAAGGCUUCGAGAUUGUCAAAAUGUUGUCUUGUGUUGGGGGAAAUUUACCCUCAAAGAAUUGUAACACAGUAAUUUUCUGUUUAUUUGUUAGGGUUCGACUUUUUUUGUUUCUUAUUAGGUCUUUGACUUUGUAAAGAUGUCAUUUUGUUUUGGAGGAAAUUUACCCCCAAAUAUUGCAACACACGCAGUCAUAUUAUGUUUAAUUAUAUGGCUUUGACUCUGUAAAGAUGUCAUCUUGCGUUGGAGGAAAUUUACCCCAAAGAAUAGCAUCACAGCUUUUUCUGUAUAGUUUUGUAUAUUUUCAUGGCUUCGACUUUGUAAAGAUGUCAUCUUGUGUUGGAGGAAAUUAACCCCCAAAGAAUUGUACCACAGUCAUUUUCUGUUUAUUUGUUAGGGUUCGACUUUCUAAAAAUGUCAUUUAGUAUUUUGGGUAAUAUACCCCCAAAUACUUGCAACAGUUAUACCUGUAUAGAUUUUCAGACUGCAAGUUUGUAAAGACUUUUUCAUCUUGGGGGUAAAUUUGCCCGAACAGAGUAGCAGAUAUUCCAUUGUCGAAUUUUACUAAGACUUACAUGUACAAAAACUGCAUUGUAUUUGGGGGUAAAUUUACUCUGUAGAAAAAUAACAAUUUUAUUGUAUCUAGCAUUUAAAAAAUAUACUGUACAUUUUUAGGAUAUGCCACACAGCUUUAUUUUCUCCAAUAAUUGCUACAGAAAUUGUCUUUUACUUGUAUAUUCUACUAACACCCUGUUUAAAUUUUAAAUCCAAAGUAGAGAGAUGCUUGGUUAGUUUUUGGGGGUAAAUUUCUCUAAAGAGUUUAUUGUUACGUGUGUCCUCUAAGUGUUAUGCGGAAAAUAAAGCUUAAAUUGUCUUGA